rnacentral:rRNA from 1 species
AGUGAUCGCUGGCGGCGUGCUUAACACAUGCAAGUCGAGCGAAUUUCUGCAGUGUAUCGCAGGAGUUAGCGGCAGACGGGUGAGUAAUACUUGGGCAAUCUGCCCUCGGGAGGGAAACAACCUGCCGAAAGGUGGGCUAAUGUCCCAUAAGACCACAGGAGUGCAUACUCCAGAGGUCAAAGCUCCGCAAGGGGCGCUUGAGGAGGAGCCCGAGUCCUANCAGCUAGUUGGUGAGGUAACGGCUCACCAAGGCUUUGACGGGUAGCCGACCUGAAAGGGUGACCGGCCACACUGGCACUGAGACACGGGCCAGACUCCUACGGGAGGCAGCAGUGGGGAAUUUUGGACAAUGGGGCAACCCUGAUCCAGCGACGCCGCGUGAAGGACGAAGGUCUUCGGAUCGUAAACUUC